GUCCCGUUCGUCUAGUGGCCUAGGACACUGCCCUUUCACGGCAGGAACAGGGGUUCGACUCCCCUACGGGAUGCCA
rnacentral:tRNA from 1 species